rnacentral:rRNA from 1 species
UACGAAGGGGGCUAGCGUUGUUGGAAUUACUGGGCGUAAAGCGCACGUAGGCGGAUCGAUCAGUCAGGGGUGAAAUCCCAGGGCUCAACCCUGGAACUGCCUUUGAUACUGUCGAUCUGGAGUAUGGAAGAGGUGAGUGGAAUUCCGAGUGUAGAGGUGAAAUUCGUAGAUAUUCGGAGGAACACCAGUGGCGAAGGCGGCUCACUGGUCCAUUACUGACGCUGAGGUGCGAAAGCGUGGGGAGCAACAGG